UCCCCCGGCUCUGCAGCUCCACACUCAGCAGUCUGCCAGAGACCAGCGCCUCGAAACCCACCACCACCUCCCGCUCACUGAGUGGAUACACAAACAGCCCUAAAGUCCCAUAGAAGGAGGAACGAAGCACACCAUGAAGGAUAGAAUGCAAGAUUACAGGGUGGUGGAGCAUAUUCCUGUGCUCACUGGGAGGAAGGCAGGAAACACCUUGGACCGGCUGCCAGUCCUAGGGCAAUUUAGCAUCUCCAAUUGGCCUGCCUUCAUGUCUUUCAACAGGAAACAGGAGCCCCCAAAGAACACGGGAAGAACAUGCAAACACAUUGAAAGGAUGCUGGUCGUCCGGCUGGGAAAUCAAACCCAGACCUCAGGGUUCAGAUUCAGUGUUAGCGUAUGUCAGGUGUGCUGUGAUGCCCAGUGAACAGCCAUUGGCACAGGAAGUGAUGCGGGAGCUCUUCAGCAAGAGUGGAGCCCAUGUGGCACGGUUCCUCAAACCCGGCAUCCUCCUUACACACACACAAACACACACAUGCACAAAACCUGCUGAUCAUAGCAUCGCACACACUU